UCACUACUUGCGUAGGCAGUCUGGCUAGAGUCCCCACCAUCACGUGCUGGUAACUAACCACAGGGGUUGCGCUCGUUGCGCCACUUAACCCAACAUCUCACGACACGAGCUGACGACAGCCAUGCAGCACCUGUCACUGAGCUCCCGAAGGCACCAAUCUAUCUCUAGAAAGUUCUCAGGAUGUCAAGAGUAGGUAAGGUUCUUCGCGUUGCGUCGAAUUAAACCACAUGCUCCACUGCUUGUGCGGGCCCCCGUCAAUUCCUUUGAGUUUCAACCUUGCGGUCGUACUCCCCAGGCGGAGUGCUUAAUGUGUUAGCGCCGGCACGGGAGGAGUCGACACCUCCCACACCUAGUGCCCAUCGUUUACGGCGUGGACUAC
rnacentral:misc_RNA from 1 species